CGUUUGUAUGUGACACGCGACACCGAAUAAUUAGUGAAGAUUAAUCGGCUCGGUCGCGGGACACGCAUGGUUAUUAUGCGCACAGCUUGUAUAACCUGCAACAACUUUCGCAUGACAAAUACAUAUUGUCCCGUUUCCUUGAUCCUGCUGCCCCGUACUACAACUACUGCCGUGCCGCUGCUACUGUCACAGUACAACACUGCACUACUGUUUCUCGGUUCGGCGUUAUUUAUAAUAAUACAUAUAUUGUAUUGUAAUUGCGCGUA